rnacentral:rRNA from 1 species
UAAAAUUAGUAAUAGUUAUGUUCUUGAAAUUUAAAAAAUUUGGCGGUAUUUUAAAUUUUUAGAGGAACCUGUCCUAUAAUUGAUAAUCCACGAUUAAAUGUACUUAUUUUAUGUUUAUAUAUCGUUGUAGAUAAAUAUUUUAUAAGAAUUGGAAUAUUUGUAAUAUAAUAGAUUAUAGGGAUUCAAAUCAAGAUGUAGCUAUAAAUAAGAAGAGAUGGGUUACAAUUAUUUUAAUAUUGGAAUAAUUAUUUUAAAUUGUUAUGAAAGAGGAUUUAAUAGUAAUUUAGAAUAUAAUUUUUGGAUGAAUAGAUCUAUAAAAUGUGUACAUAUUGCCCGUCACUCCUAAUUAAA